AACGAACGCUGGCGGCAUGCCUAACACAUGCAAGUCGAACGAAGCCUUCGGGCUUAGUGGCGCACGGGUGCGUAACGCGUGGGAAUCUGCCCUUGGGUUCGGAAUAACAGUUAGAAAUGACUGCUAAUACCGAAUGAUGUCUUCGGACCAAAGAUUUAUCGCCCAAGGAUGAGCCCGCGUCGGAUUAGCUAGUUGGUGAGGUAAAGGCUCACCAAGGCGACGAUCCGUAGCUGGUCUGAGAGGAUGAUCAGCCACACUGGGACUGAGACACGGCCCAGACUCUUACGGGAGGCAGCAGUGGGGAAUAUUGGACAAUGGGCGAAAGCCUGAUCCAGCAAUGCCGCGUGAGUGAUGAAGGCCUUAGGGUUGUAAAGCUCUUUUACCCGGGAUGAUAAUGACAGUACCGGAGAAUAAGCCCGGCUAACUCCGUGCCAGCAGCCGCGGUAAU
rnacentral:rRNA from 1 species